AAUAUUAGUCAAUGCUCGAAAGAGUGAACUAGCUAACUGAAAUCAAUUAUAAUAAUUGAUAACAUAAGGGAAAAUAAUGAUAUUACCUUAUUAUUAGUGUCGUCCAAAACUGGUGCCAGAAGACUCGGUAAGGCCAGAGACACAAACGUUAAUCGUCUUAAUCAGGCGUAAAGGGUUUGUAGGCGGCUUUAAAAUUUACUUAAAUAUAUAUUAAGUAAAGAAUAAAAGCUAGAAUCAAAUAGAGGAUAUAUGAAAGAAUGCUUAGAGUAGGUCUGAUAUCCUUAGAUACUAAGUAGAAUAUUAAAGGCGAAAGCUUUUUUCCAUUAAUGAUUGACGCUCAGAAACGAAGGUGAGGAUAGGAAAUAGGAUUAGAUACCCAGAAUACCCCUCUCUGUCAACGAUGAAUGGUAGUUAUUAGUAAAAAUUAUUAAUGGCAAUGUUAACACGAUAACCAUUCCGCCUUGUGAGUACAACUGCAAAGUUGAAAACAAAAAAAUUAGUCGGUUUCGGAGCAAACGAAGUGAAGCAUGUUAUUUAAUUC
rnacentral:rRNA from 1 species